rnacentral:lncRNA from 1 species
CCUCUCAGUAGAUUAGAAGAAUUAUGUUAGCUGCAGGAGCUGCUGUGAUUUCUUUGUGAUUAGCAUUAUCCGAUCCUCUGGAGCAUGGCACAGUCAAAGUGGGAAAAGGAUGUGACGUUGACCUUCUGUCUCAAACCCCUCCUCCAGAGUCAGACCUCUACCACAGGGAGCUUUCAAGUCACUGGCAACCUGAUUUGGAGGCUGAUGAUAGGCUGGGAGCUGAGCUGCAGGCUGAACGUGCUGCCUGAGUAGUGUUCAAAGCGGAUAAGGCUAAGCACAAAGAAAUCACAGCAGCUGCUGCAGCUAACAUAAUUCUUCUAAUCUACUAAGCGAAAGUAACAGCUCACUAAACUUAGCCAAGCAGCACUGCAGUAUAUACCUAAAGCAUGUCACACUGCCUCAUUAUUGAAGCUUGCAUUGUAUGUUAUAUUCUUUCACCUCAUAAGGUGUCACUCUGUUGAAACACUACACUUCGUAUGUUUUAUUUGUAUAUUGGUGUUUAGGGGUACACCAUCUAGAAGGUUUUCUGGUUUGUUUUUAGCAUAUAGUGGAGAUAUUUUGAAUAGAUUAUUAUUAAUUCCCUUUAAUUUAUGAAGAGGCAAGACCAUGUUUUAUGUGUAACAAUACUCUACUGGCCUUAGUAACUGCUACCUGACUGCACAUUCUUACUUAGUCUGUUGUCUAUAUCUGUUAUCACGCAAUAUUGUUUUCCCUGAUUCAGUAUAAUUUGUUCGUACAUUUCUCAGCUCAAAAUACAUUUGUUUAAGAUUACUACAUUAAAUCUCACCUGUCACUUUACUGCUUUGUCCCCUAAUUUUCCAAAUCAAAAGUAUUCUGCCACAGUUUUUUUUUUUGCUCGUCAAGCAUAUUUUGUGCCUGGUUAAUGCAUCGUCUGUAAAAAGUUGGUGGAUUAAAAUAAUAAAUUACUGUUUGGAGCGUCAUG